rnacentral:rRNA from 1 species
ACGAACGCUGGCGGCAUGCCUAACACCUGCCAGUCGCACGAGACCUUCGGGUCUAGUGGCGCACGGGUGCGUAACGCGUGGGAACCUGCCCUUAGGUUCGGAAUAACUCCCCGAAAGGGGUGCUAAUACCGGAUAAUGUCUUCGGACCAAAGAUUUAUCGCCUUUGGAUGGGCCCGCGUUGGAUUAGCUAGUUGGUAGGGUAAAAGCCUACCAAGGCGACGAUCCAUAGCUGGUCUGAGAGGAUGAUCAGCCACACUGGGACUGAGACACGGCCCAGACUCCUACGGGAAGCAGCAGUGGGGAAUAUUGGACAAUGGGCGAAAGCCUGAUCCAGCAAUGCCGCGUGAGUGAUGAAGGCCUUAGGGUUGUAAAGCUCUUUUACCCGGGAUGAUAAUGACAGUACCGGGAGAAUAAGCUCCGGCUAACUCCGUG